rnacentral:rRNA from 1 species
UACGGGGGGAGCAAGCGUUGUUCGGAUUUACUGGGCGUAAAGGGCGCGUAGGCGGCCACCGCAAGUCGAUUGUGAAAUCUCCGGGCUUAACCCGGAAAGGUCAACCGAUACUGCGGGGCUAGAGUGCAGAAGGGGCAACUGGAAUUCUCGGUGUAGCGGUGAAAUGCGUAGAUAUCGAGAGGAACACCUGCGGCGAAGGCGGGUUGCUGGGCUGACACUGACGCUGAGGCGCGAAAGCGUGGGGAGCAAACGGG